AUCAUGUGUCUCUCUCACAAGAAUGAGGUUAUUUAAAAGAAUGUAUUUUGUCUGACUUAUUUAUUACUCUAUCCCCAGUGCCUAGAACAGUCUGUCACAUUCAGGGAACUGAAAUUUGUUCAGUAAACACAUGAAUAAUUUAAUACAUGAAACAUUUCAGAAAACACUACAGUAUAAUAGCCAGGAUCUCCUGAGAUAUUGAAACAGCAAUUGAUAUUAGGGAUCAAAAAUAAGAAAUAAAUACAAGAAAUAUUGCAACAAUAAAAGAAGGAAGAUUUUAGAUCAACACACAGUGGAUAGCACAUUACUUUUAUAACAGGAGAAGGCUACCUUAAAGAUGAAGAAAAAUGAAGAGAAGAGAACACAAGAAAAAGGACUCAGACUGGACAAGAUGGAAAGCAUUAUAGAUCUUACAACUACGUUGGCAUCUGCCAUCUGUAAACAGUAUGAUCAGCAUUAGGACAAGAAGACCUGAAGGAAUUUCCUGAGGUCAUUACAUCCAUUUUUCUGACUUAGAGAAGGUCUGUAACAACCCAGACAAAACAAUUACUCACCCAGCCUGUUUCUCAUCUCACCAAGGGGAAAGACUAGGAUUGGAAAUAACUGCUACGAAGCCUCAAAAGAAUUACUCCAUAUAUAACAAAACACCAGAAAGCAUGCAGUGUCUAUCUCACAUUCUCAGUUGCUGAGCUUGCUCUGACAUUAUAAUAUUCCAUAGUUGUUUGUAACUAUUUCAUUUAGAUAGUGCCCUUCAUAAGCCAUAGAUUUCUUUUUUUAUAGCAUCAUUAGCUAUUGAAACAAUAAUGACCAUGUGUAAACGAUGCAGUAAUGAAAGACCGUUU
rnacentral:lncRNA from 1 species